rnacentral:rRNA from 1 species
AUUGAACGCUGGCGGCAGGCCUAACACAUGCAAGUCGAACGAGUUGCGGACGGGUGAGUAAUGUCUGGGAAACUGCCUGAUGGAGGGGGAUAACUACUGGAAACGGUAGCUAAUACCGCAUACCAUCGGAUGUGCCCAGAUGGGAUUAGCUAGUAGGUGGGGUAAAGGCUCACCUAGGCGACGCUCCCGAGCUGGUCUGAAAGGAUGACCAGCGACACUGGAAGUGAGACACGGUCCAGACGCAUACGGGAGGCAGCAGUGGGGAAUAUUGCACAAUGGGAGCAAGCCUGAUGCAGCCAUGCCGCGUGUAUGAAGAAGGCCUUCGGGUUGUAAAGUACUUUCAGCGGGGAGGCGUUACCCGCAGAAGAAGCACCGGCUAACUCCGUGCCAGCAGCCGCGGUAAUUC